rnacentral:rRNA from 1 species
AUUGGAGGAAAGCAGGGGAUCGCAAGACCUUGCGCGAUUAGAGUGGCCGAUGCCUGAUUAGCUUGUUGGUGAGGUAAUGGCUCACCAAGGCGACGAUCAGUAGCGGGUCUGAGAGGAUGAUCCGCCACACUGGAACUGAGACACGGUCCAGACUCCUACGGGAGGCAGCAGUGGGGAAUUUUGGACAAUGGGGGAAACCCUGAUCCAGCCAUGCCGCGUGAGUGAAGAAGGCCUUCGGGUUGUAAAGCUCUUUCAGCCGGAACGAAACGGUCACGGCUAAUACCCGUGACUAAUGACGGUACCGGAAGAAGAAGCACCGGCUAACUACGUGCCAGCAGCCGCGGUAAUACGUAGGGUGCGAGCGUUAAUCGGAAUUACUGGGCGUAAAGCGUGCGCAGGCGGUUUUGUAAGUCAGAUGUGAAAUCCCCGGGCUCAACCUGGGAACUGCGUUUGAAACUACAAGGCUAGAAU